AUGGGAGGUAGAACUGUUUCUAUUGUUCACAUGUCAUUUGGCGCAGUUAAAUCAUCUCCUCUACAACCCAGAGAGGAAGGUGCUUCCACCUACACCUUCUUCAUUUGGGGGAAGAGAUGGAGUGGGAAUUCUCAGCAUCUGCUUCAUUCCUAUAGCUUUCCUACUCCAAAGAGGAUUUAUCAGGUGCUGUGGAGAUUUGUUGACAGCAGGACAGUGCAGACAGGAAAGGGACGAAGACUUGGCAUUAGACAUGCCCUUCAGAGUGGGACAGGCCCAGCUAACAGGAGAGGUUGGAGAAGACACAGGUGCAAGGAGUUCAGCUUUCUCUGUGGAGGUUCAGGUAGGAACAUUUUAUGUUCAGCAGCUUAUCGUCGUAGAUGCAGAACAAAGACAGAACUAGAAGUCAGCCCUCUGCUCACCUGAGACAAAUGCAUAUUUGACAUCUAUUUGGAAUCAGGUACAUCUGCCCCUUGACCUUCUGCUGGGAGCAUUUUU
rnacentral:lncRNA from 1 species